UUUCUUUCUUCUUCUUUGAUUUCAUCUUCCUGUAUGGUGUCUGCGGCUGCGUCGAUCUUGGCCGGAAGGAUGAUGCUCGCGGUGAUUAGUUUCGCUUUCUCACGACCCUUCAGAGUUGUCGGGUUUAAUUAAACGGUUCUCGAUGUCAAUACAGAAGCUUGAUCUGCAGACAAAUCACGAUACAUAACGUAUCCAACCCAAAACGCGAAAGAGAUUUGAAGAAAAUACCGGUCUGUUAUGGGAGCACAAAAUCGAGAUUUAAUUAAAAAUCAUAGUGAAAAUAUCAACCACAAAAUACAGCAAGAAUCAAUCAGAUGCACAAUUCAAUUUUAUUUAGAUUCAAACACAAUAAAGCAGAGCAACAAUAAUUCGAGUGAAUUUUACAGGGAAGGGUUCAAAAUAACUCAAUACGAAAUUGGAAUUUCAUCACAAUAAAGAUGAAACUCUCAAUUAGCAGAGGUUGCCCUUAGUGAGGGUAUGCACUUAGCUUCUGCUGGUACGUUCGGGUUGUCUUCUUUGUGUAUGCACUUAGCUUCUGUAGGUACGUUCGAGUUGUCUAUUUUAUGUCCCCGGAGCGUAACACUUGCAGUCACAGGACUUUUUAUAGUGCAAUGUGAUUAGGGUUAGGGAUGGUGAGACCGUGGCAUUAAGUUUGAAUUCUUGACUUUUCUUUUAACUCCCAAUUCCGUGUG